ACAAGGUCACAAUCCAUCCCAUUGUGAUGUUACAAUGGACAUUGAGGCCUUGGCUGUGACUUUUGCCCCCUUAGCUGCCCUCACGCUUCACCUUCUCCAGUAUAAUUCUUGUCAAAAAAGCAACUCAGUCCUGAUCAUCUUCUUCCCUGUUGCUGCCAUCUUAGUUAUAUCUGGUCCCAGAGCACUCACUGGGGUGGUCUGCUGCUACUUGAGUGAUCCUGGAGAAUUUAAAGUUCAGCUGGGACACAUGAGCUCAUGGCAGGAGACUGCUCAGCACAGCCCUGUGGAUAGUUAUAUCCACAAUCAACAACUCCUCUUUCUCCCUACACCCCAAAGGAGGCAGCCCUGUCUGUGAUUGUGUGUGUGCUCUUUUCACCAGAGCAAUAGAGGAGAAAUUUACUGGUUUCGUUUUGCCAGAAAUCUGAUGAAAUCUGCCCUGCAUAUGGAUUGCUCAUUUCUUUGAUCACAGUGGUGGGAAGAGAGGAAAAAGAAAGAAUGCAUGGUAGAAGACACUUAUUUUACUCAUCCCUCAGGAAAGGACAUUGGAGAUCAGGCAGUAAAACUUUGUUCAAAUGCUGCAUAUGGGAUGUUUGGUAAUGCCAAGUCUCACAGAAGACCCAGACCUUCCUUCCCUAACAUUUUCAUUCUACAUGGAAGGAAGCUUUUUCACUAAAACAUAGUCCCUCACAUGGCUGUGAAUACAUAUGUUUUUGCUCUUUCCUAGAUGAGACUGUGUCAGAGCAAUUCCUCGAUAUCUCCUGGUGUUGCAUCUUCCUGGUGACACUUUUAACUUAUCUAUGAAAAAUGGACACAUUCUCUAUCCCAGAGGAUAAAUCAAGACCACUGCCUGUGACUGCCAUAACUGCCCACAGAGGACCUAUACUUCCUGAGGGAUGUCUUAAUCCUGUCAAAUAACUUUCUGAGCACAUUUUGUUUCUUGCUUGAUUCCUACCAUUUUAUAAGGUUUUGUUUCUUCAUUAACUCAGUCAUGAAUUGGAAAUGUGUCUCUCAUGAGUGUGCCCCAGAGAGGGGCAAUAUUACAAAAUAAUGCUUUGAUUGAUGCAUUAGAGUGAAGACUGUCAAAUAAUGAGAUGCUAUUAUUUUAGUACUAGUACUAUCUAUUACAUCUAUAACAAUAUAGUACCUUACCAACUUAUUGUGUAUGUCUACAUAUAUAUAUAUAUAUGUAUGUGUGUGUGUGUGUGUGUAAUACUUGUCUAUUUUACACAGACACUACUUUUUGCUUAUUUACACAGACACUAUUCAUUAUUUUACACAGAUAUUAUUUAAUGCAUGUUAUAUCUGUAGUAUUAUAGUCGUCCAAAGAGGUGAAAACUGGAGCAUUAAUAUCUGAAUAACUCAAGUUGUAAUAGUAAUUUAUAGAUCUGAAGAAAAUCUGAAGUUUGUAACAACUUGUGCCUGGGUUUUGCCCUUUGUAUGCAUGCUUUCCAAGUGGUCUCUGUGUCAUGGUUGGGACCAUACUGCUUCAGCAUGUGGCAAAGCAGGCACAUCCCCAGAACUGUGAAAGAUGGACCUUGGCUCUUUGAAUUAAGGGAGGCUCUUUGAAUUAACUUUAAAUUUUGAAUUAAGUUGAAUUAAGUUUGUUGGUUUUUUUUAGCUUAGAAAUAUAGAAGAUAACACCAAAAUUUCCAGUUUAUUAUCAAUAUAAUGGCCUUGAUUUUCAAAGGCACCUGUCUUGCAAUAAUUUUUAUAGACUGCAGGCUGGAAUCUUUGCAAAUUUUAAUUUGCUCUGGCAAAAUGUUUUUUAAAAACAAAUAACAUGCUGAAAUCCAGGUGUAAGGCAGCUAUAUUAAAAUUAUUGUAUAUCUGGGGGUUUUUUUCUCAGUAUUUGUUUUCAAAACUGAUACACAAGCUAGACAUAGAAUCAUAGUAAGGCAGUAAGGGAAAAUAUUUCCAAGAUCACAGAGUCCAGCCUUUGGCCAACCAUCUUGUCCAUUACACCUCAGUAUUGUGUCAUGUCGAGUCAUUUCUUAAACACCUCUGCCACAACCAGCAAGGAUUAAACCCACAAAAUAACAGCAGCCUCCACCACACUCCUUUUACUGUUUCAAUUUGUAAAGCUGGCUUUGGUGUUAAUUCUAUACCUGAUAGAUGAAACUUAUUUCAAGAGGUUAAACAUUUAUCUCUCUGCAAGUUGUACAGCUGAAUUUGUAUUGAAAAUGGAAAGGCAAACAGACAUGAUCCCUUCAGGUCUUUGCUAAUUCUGUUUUAAGGAAUUUCAGAAUAUGGACAAUCCUUGGAAACAGCAGAAAAUAUGCAGUAAGGAAUGUGUAGUAAGGAACUGGACUUUACUGGACACUGAGAGAGGAAGAGGUUGAGAUUGGAUGAAUAUUUGAUACUGCUGAGCAGCAGGGCAAUGAUUCAGUCAGGCACUUGAAAACAUGCCUAAUUUUAAGCUAUGCAUUUGCUAAAUAAAGAGCCAGCUAGGCCUUGUGGGAUCUUCACUCAAUUUUAAAUCUGAUUCAGUACCCUUUGUGCAUUGAAACUCAGGAACAAUGAACCAACCCAAUUCUGAUUCCUAAUGGUGAAUCCAGUGAAGUAUGUGGGUGUUUAAGGAGUGUUCCAAUUUAUGCUUUCUAUUUUUGUGUCACUUAUGCUGUAAUUAAAAUAAGGAUAUAAUGGACAUAAAUUGUGCCCUGAUUAUUUUUGCAUUCAGAAGCAUUUCUCCUCCAGCUUCCCUGUAUUUCUUGGGGUUUUCUCUU